ACUAUAUAAGUAUAUUUAUUUAAGAAAGUACUUUUUUCCAAGAAAGUACCAUUUUCAAUGGAUUUCAAUUAUCCAUGCCUGCUAACGAAACCAAAAACAUAUGUUACAAACAAAAAAAAAAAAACAAAACGUCACGCGAAAGAAAACGAAAAAAAAAACAAAUUCCAUCAACACAACCACCAACAAACUCUAGAUUGUUAUGGAAUGAAGGCAGAAUUAAUUAAACGUUAAUAAACAUUUUAAAUCGGAGGCAAAUAUACACAAAAAUCAUUUGAUAAUUUUAAACAGUUUCAACAAAAUAGCUGAAAGCAGCAGAAGCGGACAGAAGUAAAUUAAAAAAAUUAUAGUUAAAUAAAUAUUUUGUGAAUAAAAAAAGCAAACGACGCCCCAACCCGCCCCUUAAAAAAGGGGUAUAUAAAAAAAGUGUGCUUUCGCAGAAAAAAAGUGAGAAGAGAGAACAAAUGUCAUUAUUUUGUUAAAAAGAGAAUUUAACAAAUUGUGAAUUCUAUCAGAAAAGUCAAGCCAGACAAUCACCAUUUACUAUUGUUAAGUUUUACUCUACUGAAGUGGUGUACAAUAAAGAAACAAAAACUCAAUAGAACCAAAAACGUUUAAUAAGAAGGUCGUUUAUAUACCUCAUCGCUCAUAGAAUCAAACGGUCGGUUAGAGUGUAAAGACGUCGUUGUCAUCGUCCGUCUGCAACAAUUUGCCUUGUUUUUUUUAUAAUUUUAUUAUAAUAUAGUUUUUCAUUUGUAGGCUGGAGAAAAAAAUAUUAGAAUAAAAAAAGCUUUAUAUUAAAAAAAAAAUAAAAUUAAAUUAAAAAAAGUUUUUAUUACAUCUCACUAAAAAUCAGCAGCCCCGGACAUCAAGCAACCUUUUUAAGGUUGAAUCAUUGUUUUCAAUUUUAAACGUCCAUAUAAAACACAAAAAGCCUCAAGAUGCGGUUAUUUCCAGUGCGUUACUCCAAAAUACCAAAAAUGCUCGACAUUUACUCACAGUUCAAUCCAUCACCGCUCUCUAUAAAACAAUUUAUGGAUUUUGGU